AAAAUAUGCACUUUAGAUCUGAAAAUAAAAAAUCACAUCAAUCUCAUCGAUGUUGAAAUUCAAAAUCUAACUAUUAGAUUUAGCAUAGAAAUCAAAAUAAGUUAGAGAUCAUUACCAAACAAAUUUGAUCUUGAUCUCCUCUAGUCCAAUGGUUGGAGAAGGUGUUUUUCAGAUCACUCGCAGCCAUAUGAAGUCAUCUGGCCUC
rnacentral:lncRNA from 1 species